UCGUUUCGUAGAUUCUCUUUAGUACUUUAGGCGGGAAGUUCAAUAAUUUGAGCGACGCGCGCGACAAGAUCACAUCCAGAAGAAGUGACCGCCAUCUUGAGCUUAUGUUUCGCUAUUAAUUUUUCGCUGAAUUUAGCCCUUUUAGCUGAAAAAUUAUGCUUUUAGAGAACCAGAACGAAAGUGUAUUGCUGGUCUGAUGCUGAUGGAACCAACCUCAUUGGAUAGCUUCCUCCAUUAUUAUUGCUGGUGCUGUUGACGCCAUUUCUGUAUAUACCAAGGGGAGUUGGUGCAGCCUGGAUAAUCAGAGAAAAUAUUUCUAUAAACUGCCUGGAUUAGAAUGAUCACAAACAAUGCAAGGGAUCAAGGAAGUAACUAUUAAUUCCAAAUGGUCAUAUUAUAAUAUGGAAUCUGCUGUGGUGGAAGAGAAANACCAGAGAACCCUGAGAAGAACUCUCAAACCAAGGUUGCUAACAGCAAUAUACCACCACCUGGCUCUGAUGGAUAAAAAUCUUCUAUCACCUAUAUAUCACACAAAGGAAAACACUGUCAUUAAUCCAUGACGCAAAGGGCGGUUUAGGCUCUAAGAAAUAUCAUUCUUCAUUAGGAUUCAGUCCAUUCCAAAAAAAUUUAAGUCAUUUCUGGAACUACCCAAUGAACUAGAAACUGAACUAACCAACAUACCUUUACAAG
rnacentral:lncRNA from 1 species